UAACGAAUAGCUUAUAUUUAAAGCAUAGUGCUGAAGACGCUAUAAAGAAUUAUUCUUUGUUAA
rnacentral:tRNA from 1 species